AUCCACCAUUAUCGUAAGAAUCAAGCACUCACAAAGAAACCCAAUUCAUACAGCUAAUUCAUCGGCAAUGAACACCCCAACCCAAGCAAACACAAUCACAAACCCAAAAAGCUCCAUAAUAACACAAAAAGCAUAAAGCAACAAGAAACUAAACACAAAGAAGCAAGGCAACAGAGAACCAAAAUUCAUUCAUCACAAGAUGGCAAUCAUUGCUACAACCCAUCACUAUCGAGACUCACUAGGUUAUGCACAAAAAAUCAUUAGCCCUUCACUACAAAGGCUAAACCUAGCCACCGUCAUUAACUCUUCAUCAAAUAACAAACAUAUAAUUAGCAAAAUAGAAGGGGAGUAACAUAACUUGAAGUGGUGGCCGUACGAACAGUGGAAGGGAAGUUCUUGGAGAAGGUAACUGUAAUCUUUGGACCCCGAUCCACAUGAAUCUAUCAAGUUUCAAAGGAUAUCAACCUCGGAUUCGAGACGAGAAAGCCAAAAGGAGGCUCAUAGUGAGUUUUGGGUGUCAACGAAAGUCAAUCGAUAGUGGCCAAUGGUGGAGUUUGGUACGCGAUGUGGUGAUCACUCAUUGAUUUCCAGAUUUUUCUGAACGUUCGUGGUUACUUUUAAAGAGAGAGGUAGAGAAACUUGCUUUUAGAAAGAGAAAGGUAAAAAAUGAAAAUGAGGACGAGCUUGAAAAUGAGGUUUUAUAGUGGUGGUAAAAUGACAUUGUUUUAAAAAAAAUUAAGAAA
rnacentral:lncRNA from 1 species